AGCGUGCGGAGAUGUAUCGCACACUUUCAUAGUCGAUAGGGAGAGCGUCCGCACGGAGAAUCAAUACCGCACCGCUAGCGUGCGGAAGAAUCAUUUCCAUUUAUCUGGCGGUGCGGUACUCGUUCACUCAGUGUAAAGAUUGGAAUGAAUCAUUCAGUUCUGAUUCAUUUUGCCCAUGUCUAGUUUCAACCCCCUCAUGUCCACAAACUGCCUUCGCUUACUAUUCCUAUCCCGUUUCUACAUUCCACAACGUUUGUUGCGUUCACUCAUCACUCAUCACUCAUCAGGGUGUUAGUCAAUUCUCUCUUGCCACACGAAGAGAAUUCUCCUGCACACUUCGUGUGUUUGAUUCUACCCAUCCCUGUUGAACACACGUCAUUUUCUUCCAUCGCACUCAGCAGGGUGUUUGCUCUUUUCCAUCCAAGCCAAAGAGCGACUUCAGUGUGCUCUGAACUGUGGACGUGAGAGUGUGUGUUUGUGUGCUGCGUGAACUAUUUUUCCUGCGUGAAACACUUUCCAUACUGCGCCAUCCGCGGUGUUCUUUCUACUUUAUCGGAGGACAAAUUGUUAUCAUCUAAUUGUUUCGAUGUGUGCUGCUACCGCUAGCUGUUCUCCAAACCUCUUCAAAUUGCGACACUGUGUGCACUGUGUGGGUUCAAUUGAUCCUCGAGCACAAAGCCUUCAUACAACACCGCGGUUGAGGCGCGUCAAAUCUGAUGACAUCUUUCCUGAACCAAGCAGGCUGAACACGCGCACCACCACGGGCUCCAGCGCGGUGUGAAGAGGAAGAAGAAAAGACAGAAUUGGAAACAGCCGCGCCAGGCUUCCAACCACCGUGUGUGUGUAUGUAAGUAUGUGAGAACACAUGUGUGAAUCCUCUUGUGGGAACUGCAAAAAGAAGAGAAU